CUUUCAGCAGCCGCGGUAAUACGUAGGGGGCAAGCGUUGUCCGGAUUUAUUGGGCGUAAAGAGCGUGUAGGCGGCUAGGUAGGUCCGUUGUGAAAACUCGAGGCUUAACCUCGAGACGUCGAUGGAAACCAUCUAGCUAGAGUCCGGAAGAGGAGAGUGGAAUUCCUGGUGUAGCGGUGAAAUGCGCAGAUAUCAGGAGGAACACCCGUGGCGAAGGCGGCUCUCUGGGACGUGACUGACGCUGAGACGCGAAAGCGUGGGGAGCAAACAGGAUUAGAAACCCUUGUAGUCC
rnacentral:rRNA from 1 species